rnacentral:rRNA from 1 species
AACGAACGCUGGCGGCAUGCCUAACACAUGCAAGUCGAACGAGACCUUCGGGUCUAGUGGCGCACGGGUGCGUAACGCGUGGGAACCUGCCCUUAGGUUCGGAAUAACUCCCCGAAAGGGGUGCUAAUACCGGAUAAUGUCUUCGGACCAAAGAUUUAUCGCCUUUGGAUGGGCCCGCGUUGGAUUAGCUAGUUGGUAGGGUAAAAGCCUACCAAGGCGACGAUCCAUAGCUGGUCUGAGAGGAUGAUCAGCCACACUGGGACUGAGACACGGCCCAGACUCCUACGGGAGGCAGCAGUGGGGAAUAUUGGACAAUGGCGAAAGCCUGAUCCAGCAAUGCCGCGUGAGUGAUGAAGGCCUUAGGGUUGUAAAGCUCUUUUACCCGGGAUGAUAAUGACAGUACCGGGAGAAUAAGCUCCGGCUAACUCCGU